CCACCAUAAAUAUUGAUAAGUGACAGCCAUAUCAUUAAUAUCGGUGUGCCAGAGAUGUAAAACGACUCUAAAACACUUGAAGCGGCACUUGACUCUCAUCCGCCAGCUGCUGCUCAGUUACAACAUCUCAAAACACAAAAAUUCUGAUGUUGUAGAGAAAGAUUUCAGACAGGACGUGGCGAGGUGUCUACAGGCGCCCUGGUGACACGGCAUCCUGGGCUGGACAAACCACACUAUGUGUGUAAGUAAUAGGUGCGGUGAUUUUGUUUCCUACAUAAACAUGGGGUGCUGAAUUCAGCGUUUCUGGUUCUGAUUAUUUUUUUUAUGUUUAAAGAAUAUGUGUCUUUUGACAAAAACAAAACUAAAAUUAAUUUUUAGUAAAAUUA
rnacentral:lncRNA from 12 species